rnacentral:piRNA from 1 species
UGGUGUCCAUGGAUCUAGCUCCUCUGCCGU